rfam:Otolemur garnettii contig132142, whole genome shotgun sequence.
GCAGGCGCAGUGGCACACACCUAUCGUCCCAGCUACUUGGAAGGCUGAAGCGGGAGGACUACUUUGAGCCCAGGAGGUGUGGGCUGUAGUGUACAAUGCUGAUCAGUUGUCCGUGCUGAGUUCAGUAUCAGCAUGGUGACCUUUCAGGGUCAUGGGGCCAGCAGGUGCCUAAGGAGGGGUGAACUGGCCCAGAUUGGAAACAGAACAGGCCAACACUCCUAUGCUGAUCAGUAAUGAGAUUGCACCUGUGAAUAACCCCUGCGCUCCAGCCUGGGAAGCAUAGUAAGACGCUGUCUCUA